GGAUGCGAUCAUACCAGCACUAAAGCACCGGAUCCCAUCAGAACUUCGAAGUUAAGCGUGCUUUGGCGAGAGUAGUACUAGGAUGGGUGACCUCCUGGGAAGUCCUCGUGUUGCAUUCC
rnacentral:rRNA from 2 species